UACGUAGGGUGCGAGCGUUGUCCGGAAUUAUUGGGCGUAAAGAGCUUAUAGGCGGUCUGUCGCGUCUGCUGUGAAAAUCCGGGGCUCAACCCCGGACUUGCAGUGGGUACGGGCAGACUAGAGUGUGGUAGGGGAGACUGGAAUUCCUGGUGUAGCGGUGAAAUGCGCAGAUAUCAGGAGGAACACCGAUGGCGAAGGCAGGUCUCUGGGCCACUACUGACGCUGAGAAGCGAAAGCAUGGGGAGCGAACAGG
rnacentral:rRNA from 1 species